CUACAAUAAUGUGGCAUACAGACUGUGACUUUCUAGUUAACCUUCCUUUCUCAAGUAGUUAAUGUUUCUUCUUUCAGAACCUGUUCAUAAUCCUCUUCCUAUUUACAUGUUGAACUCUACAUCUGAAACUAUGAAAAUCACAACAUUGAAAUAACCAACGGCAACAAAUACAAUAAGGUUUCUUGCCGCUUCACUUCAUGAACCCCUGAUGACAUCAGAGUGGGAUGAAUGUGUCUGAUCAACUUGCCCUCGCACUCCCUUGGGGCAAAACCUUUAUAUAGAAUUAUGAUCCCAGAGUAUCUUAUUGGUUGCAUUGCAUCAACCAAUGGUUGCAUGCCACGUCAAAUUGCUAUAUCAUAUGAUGUGGUUAGCUGAUAUGCAGACUCAGGCGUUCUGAGAUCUGGCAUGCUUCUCCAAUGUAGUUAGCAUGGAGGGUGGCCAUUGUGUUUCAGAACCACAGAUUUCACAAAUCCUGCAACUAAAGUAAUUUCACAGAGUAGGUAACUGCUCACUGCUCCAAAAACGACCUUCUGACACCAUGUAUCUAGUCUGUGUUGACUGACUGUUUGGCCUUCAUUCCAACCUUUUCCUGCCACCGUGGAUUCUAUUUAUAGUCAUCUCAUAAAAGUGUGAAGCCUUGGCUAUGUGUGAAGCCUCCGCUAUGCUGACAAAGCGGUCUUGCCUCCAACUCAUUGCAAUUUGAACCCUCUGGUAAAUCUGGAUAAGUAUAACAUUACCGAAUACAUUAAAAUACUUUUUUUCCUAAACGGGUCUAGACUUGUUAUUGCUUGUUUAGCAGAUGGGGAUUUCUGAAACUUACUCCUCAGGACUUGAACUCCAUUGAAAACCUGUGGUUUGAAUUGAAGAGGGCAGUCCAUCAGUGCAGACAUCCAAGAUUUACCACCAUAUUUGACAGUAGACCACCACAUCCUUCCACAACCUAACCUUCCUACCGGCCUUUCAAGCUCCAACUCCUAAACCUUAAUCAACAUCCAUUCCAAACCCUCCCCUAUGAAUUCUGUGUUCCUGUUCCACUGUGUAUUAAAUACCCUAAACCUGGA